GGAAUACAAAAUUUGAUGGUUUUUCAUGGAUUUAUAUAGUGUAGUCGUUUAGUUUUCUCAAAUAUUAUUUGGAAGCAAAAUAAUGAAAACACUUUAAUCAGAAGCCUUAUUUCGUUUAAUUUUUAAUAAGGAUGGAUUCUAGAAAGUCCUAAUAGCUGAGUUCCAGGGAUGUGGAUGAAGGAACCACUGCACGUUCUCUUUUCCACUCUGUCCUCCUCACAUUCGUCCAUUUUCUUUCUUUCUUUCUUUCUUUCUUUCUUUCUGCACAAAUUGUGCUUACGAUUUGACCACUUCUAACUAAGGCAAACAUCUUAUAAUGAAGAGUCCAAAAGUCUUUCCAAUUUAACCCCAUUCAGGAAAUGCCCAAGGCAGGUGAAAUGAUGCUAUACCAUCACUAAAAGGUCCCUGUAACCCCGCAUAGUGAAAACAUGCAAAUGAAGAAUGUGGCCCAAUCCCAAACUGAGUCUGAGUUUCAGGCCCUUUUGUUCUCUCUUAGCUGCUUUCUGAUCUAGUUGACAAGUGAAAACACUGGAUCAUUGACACCUUCCUUCCAUAAAAUUUGAGUUUAAAUGAAUGAGAAUGUCACUAUUAAUUGCUAAGUUUGCAAAACCUAUUACCUUUCUAGUUUGUGUUCUCCAGAUAGAUUUUUUUUGUCUCUCACGAAGGCAAAGGAAUGCCAGAGACAGGAAAGCUUUCUCAGUUGUGGCUUAAGGCCAAUGCUGUCCACCAGAAGGCUGAUAAACACAAAAAGCAGAGCUGGGGAGCCCAGCAGUUGUGCCUCCCCCGGAGAAUGUAAUGCUAAUUAUUGACCAACUGUCAAGAUUCAGGAGGUAACUGCAUUCCGAGGGGCUGGCACAAGGUACAGAGUGAGUGUGUGUGAGGGACCCAUAUCACAGCUGUCUGGGCCAGAAGGGGUACAGGGAUGGUAAAGACAGGACUGUAGCAGCGGGAAAGUUAAAACAAGGGUGGAAGGAUCAUCUUAGGGCUUGCUGGUAGGGGUAGGAACCUACACUUCAAUUUGGUUUCUGACUGAGAAGAGGAUGCCGUGCUGCCCAAUGAGGGCAUUCAUUGCCUAAUAAUCUACCUGGAAAUAAUGCAGAUUGUUGACAUCCUGGAAAUGAUUUGUGGGUGGUAUUAAAUGGACCCUGGGACUUUGAAAUGUAUACUAGUUGUUUGUUUUCUGGAAAGUCUGUAUUCUUAUCCUCACCUGAACCCCUGACUUUUGUGUUGUAUUUUUUUAUGAUUCCAAAAUGCUUUGAGGGAAAGAUAUUUUAAUGUGUACAAUUUGUUUUAUUUUCAUACUGA
rnacentral:lncRNA from 1 species